rnacentral:rRNA from 1 species
UACGGAGGGUGCAAGCGUUGUCCGGAUUCAUUGGGUUUGAAAGGGUGCGCAGGCGGGACAUUAAGUCAGGGGUGAAAGACGGUUGCUCAACCAAUCGCAGUGCCUUUGAUACUGGUGUUCUUGGGUGACGGUGAGGUAGGCGGAAUGGGUGGUGUAGCGGUGAAAUGCAUAGAUACCACCCAGAACUCCGAUUGCGAAGGCAGCCUACUGGUCGUUAACCGACGCUCGAGGCACGAAAGCGUGGGGAUCAAACAGG